GCCCCUGUAGCGCAGCGGAUAGCGCGUGAAUUUCCUAAGUUCAAGGUCCCAGGUUCGAAUCCUGGCUGGGGUG
rnacentral:tRNA from 1 species